CAGAAGAUGACAGCAUAUUUACAGACACUGCAAGAUUAUUAAUAUAAAAAAUAUUUCAAAGCCAGUAAACUUUCAAAAUAAACAAUCCUUAAUUAUUUCUUAUAAACCAGAGAGAAAGCUAAACAGGCCUCUAGCCUCCAACCCAAAGUUACCAGGGAAGCUGAAAAAAUACUGGAAAAAAUGAAGGAACUAGAAACUACAGUAAAUGCAGCCCAAAUAGAAAUUGGAAAGAAAGAAAGAAAUGCCAAAAUAAUUGAAGCUGAAAUUCAAGAAUCAUAUAUACGUCUUCAAACAUUGUCUGAUUCAGCAGCAGAUACAGCAGCACCGGGAUAUGGAAGGAAAACUUACAGAAAGCAGAUCAGAAUUCAUAAGACUUCAGGCAUUAUUUCAUCAGCUAAAAGAAAAUUUCCUUAUUGGUUCCCAGCCCACUCAACAGUCUAUUGCAAAAAGGCUUUGGUAAAGAUAUAUAAAUGUUGUCUUUAAUGCUGUUGGAACUACAGUGUUCUGUAUUUACAAUUCCCAUUCAGUGGCCAACAAUCUGUAUGAAACAUACUGUACAGCUUCUUAUGUCUAUAAAGCAUGGAAAAUAGGCUUAUUGUUCAGAACUUUUUAGUAUGGUAUUCUCCCAUAUAGCAUAACUUUGUAUCGCAGAGUUAGGGGUGCAAUCAGACAUGCUUAAAGAGGCACCCUCUGGGCAAAUUUUGAGCUUAUAAUUGAGUUUAUUUGGGAUUUCACAGCUCUAAAGGCAUCUCUUUCUUUAAGUCAGGUUGGGCAGGAAACUACAUAAGCAAAGAGGUGAGGUUUCCCAUUGAAUGACGAAUCAGUGGGUAGCAUCCAUAGUCAGAGUAGGUGUUGCCUACCUUGGGAACAAAUGUAGACUGCAGUGUGGCAAAAUAGGGUCAGUUCUCAGCCAUAUAUUUGAACAACUGUUUGUAUGGCANUUUUUUGUGCAUCUGGAGAUGGGAUGCUUUCCCUUAAGGGAAUGACUGAAAGAAGCACUGCCUGAUUGCACCNUUAGGCUGUUACAGUCAGUCAAAUAUGACUUCCCUUGAUAAUUUAAAAUAACACAAUUUGGACUUUGCGGUACCACUGAUUUACAUUGAUAGCCAGGGGCCUGCAGUUUCCCAAACUCCUAGUUUUCUAUAGGUGUCAAUUUUUUGCAUAAAACAAUUUUAUAUUGCAUAGUGGUUUGCAGAUUCACUUUAAUACUAGUUGUGGAGACAAAUCAAGAUCAGUACAAAUUCCUCAUUGUCAUCCAUAGCUAAGAAUGGCUAGUAACUCCUAUUUUGUAUAAAAGUCAUUAAAAUAUCUAGUGCACAUGCANUGAUGUUACAACUGUCAAGAUCACAGAGUGUG
rnacentral:lncRNA from 1 species